GACGAACGCUGGCGGCGUGCCUAAUACAUGCAAGUUGAGCGCUGAAGGUUGGUACUUGUACCAACUGGAUGAGCAGCGAACGGGUGAGUAACGCGUGGGGAAUCUGCCUUUGAGCGGGGGACAACAUUUGGAAACGAAUGCUAAUACCGCAUAAAAACUUUAAACACAAGUUUUAAGUUUGAAAGAUGCAAUUGCAUCACUCAAAGAUGAUCCCGCGUUGUAUUAGCUAGUUGGUGAGGUAAAGGCUCACCAAGGCGAUCAUACAUAGCCGACCUGAGAGGGUGAACGGCCCAAAUGGGACUGGGACACGGCCCAAGCUCCUACGGGAGGCAGCAGUAGGGAAUCUUCGGCAAAUGACGGAAAUCUGACCGAACACCGCCGGGGGAGUGAAGAAGGGUUUCGGAUCGUAAAACUCUGUUGGUAGGGAAGAACGUUGGUGAGAGUGGAAAGCUCAUCAAGUGACGGUAACUACCCAGAAAGGAACGGCUAACUACGUG
rnacentral:rRNA from 1 species